CGCAAAUCACAGACUGCGCCUGCAAAGGGCGUGGGCUUUGUCUUUAAUAGUGUUAUUACAUAGCUGCAUGGAUCCCCCGGUAGUUGAGGGCGUAUUCUACGCCUCGCGGAUGCGCUUGAGCGUCGGCACCUGCGUGAGAACGACCCGCGGACGAAGAGAAACCGGCUUUUAUUUACUCCGACCGAACGUCUGACACGUGAACGCAACCCCGCGCGAUGGCUUGGAUACUUCCUACAAAAUAAAUCGAUAGAUAGUCCCUUAUGCGUCUAUCUUUCCUCUCUCUCUCUCUCUCGCUUUCCACAGCCUCUAAUGGCGACGUCGCGUUUUGCACACAAUGGCUUUCAUCAGCAGUGCGCAUUUAGCAGAAUAGCGAAAUAAAGCACAGCCCGGUUCUAGUCGGAUAUGGCGGGGAGCACAUCCGAGCCGCUGUGCCAGCCGUGCGUUUACCGCGGAGCCUUCAAAGUGGAGCUACAGGUGAGGAGACCUCUGAUGCCGGUCCAGCUGAGUCCGGAGCAGGUGGGCCUGGAGAUGUUGUGUCUGUGCGGGCAGCUGGACCUCCUCAUCAGGGCACAGAUGCAGCAGUUCCAGGAGCAGCUGGGACACGGCUGCAGCCCGGAGGAGUCAGACACGUUUCAGGCUCAAGGAUCAGAGAUCCUUGACCAGAUGCUGCAGUGCCUUGAACAUCUACCAAAGCCUAUGCCCCAGCUGGAGGACUACCUGGACAUGGUGGGUCUGUCGGUCAUGUUCCCCCGUGUAGAGGUGUUCCUCAUUCAAGGCAGCCCAGUGGACAUGCUGGAGAGGCCGCCGAUGGACGACUACUACUCCCACGUCACCAAACUGAACCAGCUCCUGGUGCUGAGUCAACAGCUGGAAGAAGAUAUCCGGCACCUCGGGAGUCACAAAUACAUUGCCCACCAGCUGUCGGUCAUCUAUCAAGUCGUCUGCUCUUUCAGAGGCAUUCAGGCUUUUUCCAAAAUGAAGAAAGACAUCGAGGCCAACUUCAAACAGCUGAAGCAGUCUCUGGUGGCGGAGGAGGGCUCCAGGCACGAACCUCAGCUGGCCGCAAACUACAUCGACUGGGUACUAGAGCUGACUCAGAGCUUGACGUCGCUGGUGUUGACGCUGCCCGAGGAGCUGACCGAGGAACUCGACCAGGCCGUGACCUUCGUGUCCCAGUUCCUUUCCUGACUCCCCCCCCCCCACCCCCAAAGCUGACGCCUGGUGUUGUCACGACUGUCAAACGGUGCUAUGUUAUUGAAUUCAACCGGGGGGAUUGCGUACUCCAUUUACAAAUCAUGUAGGUUUUAUAUAUAUAUGUAUAUAAUUCGUCCUCCUGGUCCAUAUUCGUUCCUACGGUGAGUCAGUUAGAGAUGAAUGUAAUGUAUGAAUCCCUCCUUGCACUACUGUCAUAACUACUGUUAAACUUUCUUUUUUUUUAACCUAAAGUGGAAUAAUAAAAUGUAAUGCAAUAGGGAAACAUGUUUGUGUUCAUAUCCAAAGCAACAAGGAUGGAAUCCUUGUAUAUCUUUUUUAAUUUUUUCUUUUUUUUACCAAUUUACUAUAUUAUUCAUGACGUGAUGAACACAAUGGCUCCUCCUGCUGUUCAACUCGUGCGCAGUGUCAUGAAACCACGGCAGCGCCCUUCUGAACGAACAUCUGAUGCGGUUAAUUAAAACCAUUGCUGCCACACUUGUUGUACACUUUUUACACAUUUUACACACAUUAGACAUUUUGACACCGAACUCACAGCAGCACAGAUUCAAUACGAAGACCCGUCCUGCUGCGUACAAGUACUAAGUCACAUUGUGACGAGUCCCGUCCACGGACGCGCCCCACAGAUGUUGGCAGCGCUGAAGAACCGAGCUGGACGGAGC
ensembl:lncRNA